AUGAAUUCAAGUUCUAAACCUAAAACUCCAAGUUAUAUCAUCAAUUCUACAUGUUACAAACAUUACAAGUUUCCUACACCUAAAAUGAUAUGGACAUCACAAGGCUUUGAUUUUUCUUCUUCAACCUUGGACUUUCCAAGUUCUUCUAAGCCACAUUUUCAUCUUCAAGUACUCACCAUCUCCUCCAUGCUAGCCAUGGCUUCUUCUCCAACAAUCUUUCAUCAUGCUCUCAAUAAUCAUCAAAAUUGCUCAUGA